UCAACAUUGUUUUUGGGAAACAUUUUUUGUUUACCUCAGAGGCAUGAAAACUGAUUAAUUCCUACGUUGAUUGAAGCUCAUAGGUAUUCACACCUGUAUUCACUACUAGCUUCUUUGCCAGACUCAGAUGCCUCGCAUCUUUUUGCUCUACACAGAGAUUCCUCAUCAACUUUUGUGCAGGGAAAACCGAGGGUACGGCUUCCACUUUCAAUAAGUGUACUAAGUUUAAAAUCACUUGGCAAGAAGCAUCUCCCCUUUUCAUAAGUAUUUCCCACUUUUUCCUUCUUUGUUUAUCUGGCUUGUCCGAAGGAAACUCAGUCGUGGAGAUAAUAAAUCAGGUCGGUUUUUGCUUCGAUUAUUAGGGUUUGCAGCCGCACAACACUUGUGUCCAACUCUUUUCCUUUUCCUUACCACAUUUGCUCCAGACAAGG